GACGAACGCUGGCGGCGUGCCUAAUACAUGCAAGUCGAGCGAAGUUUUUCUGGUGCUUGCACUAGAAAAACUUAGCGGCGAACGGGUGAGUAACACGUAAAGAACCUGCCUCAUAGACGGGGACAACUAUUGGAAACGAUAGCUAAUACCGGAUAACAACAUAAAUCGCAUGAUAUAUGUUUAAAAGUUGGUUUCGGCUA
rnacentral:rRNA from 1 species